UAAUACGGAGGAUCCAAGCGUUAUCCGGAAUCAUUGGGUUUAAAGGGUCCGUAGGCGGUUUGAUAAGUCAGUGGUGAAAGCCCAUCGCUCAACGAUGGAACGGCCAUUGAUACUGUCAGACUUGAAUUACUGGGAAGUAACUAGAAUAUGUAGUGUAGCGGUGAAAUGCUUAGAUAUUACAUGGAAUACCAAUUGCGAAGGCAGGUUACUACCAGUGGAUUGACGCUGAUGGACGAAAGCGUGGGGAGCGAACAGGAUUAGAUACCCUGGUAGUCCACGCCGUAAACGAUGGAUACUAGCUGUUCGGGGCAACCUGAGUGGCUAAGCGAAAGUGAUAAGUAUCCCACCUGGGGAGUACGUUCGCAAGAAUG
rnacentral:rRNA from 1 species